rnacentral:rRNA from 1 species
AAAUAGAUACCCGGUAGUUCACGCCGUAAACGUUGGGNACUAGGUGUGGGGGAUUAUCAACGUCCUCCGUNCCGUAGCUAACGCAUUAAGUAGCCCCGCCUGGGGAGUACGGCCGCAAGGCUAAAACUCAAAGGAAUUGACGGGGGCCCGCACAAGCGGCGGAGCAUGUUGCUUAAUUCGAUGCAACGCGAAGAACCUUACCUGGGUUUGACAUGUAGGGAAAAGCCGUAGAGAUACGGUGUCCUUCGGGGUCCUACACAGGUGGUGUCAUGGCUGUCGUACAGCUCGUGUCGUGAGAUGUUGGGUUAAGUCCCGCAACGAGCGCAACCCUUGUCCUAUGUUGCCAGCGGGUAACUGCCGGGGUACUCGUAGGACGAACGUAGCCGGGGUCAACGUCGGAGGAAGGUGGGGAUGACGUCAAGUCUUCAU